UCAGAGUGAACGCUGGCGGCAGGCCUAACACAUGCAAGUCGAACGGCAGCACAGUGGUAGCAAUACCAUGGGUGGCGAGUGGCGGACGGGUGAGGAAUACAUCGGAAUCUACCUUUUCGUGGGGGAUAACGUAGGGAAACUUACGCUAAUACCGCAUACGACCUUAGGGUGAAAGCGGAGGACCUUCGGGCUUCGCGCGGAUAGAUGAGCCGAUGUCGGAUUAGCUAGUUGGCGGGGUAAAGGCCCACCAAGGCGACGAUCCGUAGCUGGUCUGAGAGGAUGAUCAGCCACACUGGAACUGAGACACGGUCCAGACUCCUACGGGAGGCAGCAGUGGGGAAUAUUGGACAAUGGGCGCAAGCCUGAUCCAGCCAUGCCGCGUGGGUGAAGAAGGCCUUCGGGUUGUAAAGCCCUUUUGUUGGGAAAGAAAAGCAGUCGGUUAAUACCCGAUUGUUCUGACGGUACCCAAAGAAUAAGCACCGGCUAACUUCGUGCCAGCAGCCGCGGUAAUACGAAGGGUGCAAGCGUUACUCGGAAUUACUGGGCGUAAAGCGUGCGUAGGUGGUUGUUUAAGUCCGUUGUGAAAGCCCUGGGCUCAACCUGGGAAUUGCAGUGGAUACUGGGCAACUAGAGUGUGGUAGAGGAUGGCGGAAUUCCCGGUGUAGCAGUGAAAUGCGUAGAGAUCGGGAGGAACAUCUGUGGCGAAGGCGGCCAU
rnacentral:rRNA from 1 species